rnacentral:rRNA from 1 species
UGCCAAGAAAAGCCUCUAGCGAGCUUCGAGCGGCCCGUACCCCAAACCGACACAGGUGGUCAGGUAGAGAAUACCGAGGCGAUCGGGCGAACUGUGGUUAAGGAACUCGGCAAAUUACCCCCGUAACUUCGGGAGAAGGGGGGCCACAGACUGUCAUACCCCACGCGGGUGGCAGCAGUAGGUGGCCGCAGAGACCAGGGGGAAGCGACUGUUUACUAAAAACACAGGUCCGUGCGAAGUCGUAAGACGAUGUAUACGGACUGACGCCUGCCCGGUGCUGGAACGUUAAGGGGACCGGUUAGUCCGCAAGGGCGAAGCUGAGAACUUAAGCGCCAGUAAACGGCGGUGGUAACUAUAACCAUCCUAAGGUAGCGAAAUUCCUUGUCGGGUAAGUUCCGACCUGCACGAAUGGCGUAACGACUUCCCUACUGUCUCAACCACAGGCCCGGCGAAAUUGCACUACGAGUAAAGAUGCUCGUUACGCGCGGAAGGACGGAAAGACCCCGGGACCUUCACUAUAGCUUGACAUUGGUAUCCGAAUUUAAUUGUGUAGGAUAGGUGGGAGGCUUUGAUCCGCGGACGCCAGUCCGUCGGGGAGCCAACGUUGAAAUACCACUCUGUUGACUUUGGGUAUCUAACUUCGGACCGUGAUCCGGUUCAGGGACAGUGUCUGGUGGGUAGUUUAACUGGGGCGGUUGCCUCCUAAAAUGUAACGGAGGCGCCCAAAGGUUCCCUCAGCCUGGUUGGCAAUCAGGUGUUGAGUGCAAGUGCACAAGGGAGCUUGACUGUGAGACUGACAGGUCGAGCAGGGACGAAAGUCGGGACUAGUGAUCCGGCACCUGCGAGUGGAAGCGGUGUCGCUCAACGGAUAAAAGGUACCCCGGGGAUAACAGGCUGAUCUUCCCCAAGAGUCCAUAUCGACGGGAUGGUUUGGCACCUCGAUGUCGGCUCGUCGCAUCCUGGGGCUGGAGUAGGUCCCAAGGGUUGGGCUGUUCGCCCAUUAAAGCGGCACGCGAGCUGGGUUUAGAACGUCGUGAGACAGUUCGGUCCCUAUCCUCCGCGCGCGUAGGAGACUUGAGAAGAGCUGUCCCUAGUACGAGAGGACCGGGACGGACGAACCUCUGGUGUGCCAGUUGUCAUGCCAAUGGCACGGCUGGUUAGCUACGUUCGGAAGGGAUAACCGCUGAAAGCAUCUAAGCGGGAAGCUCGCUUCAAGAUGAGGUCUCCCACCCCUUAGAGGGUUAAGGCCCCCAGCUAGACCACUGGGUUGAUAGGCCAGAAGUGUAAGCCUGGUAACAGGUUCAGCCGACUGGUACUAAUAGGCCGAGGACUUAAAGA